GAUGAACGCUGGCGGCGUGCCUAAUACAUGCAAGUCGAGCGAACGGACGAGAAGCUUGCUUCUCUGAUGUUAGCGGCGGACGGGUGAGUAACACGUGGAUAACCUACCUAUAAGACUGGGAUAACUUCGGGAAACCGUAGCUAAUGCCGGAUAAUAUUUUGAACCGCAUGGUUCAAAAGUGAAAGACGGUCUUGCUGUCACUUAUAGAUGGAUCCGCGCUGCAUUAGCUAGUUGGUAAGGUAACGGCUUACCAAGGCAACGAUGCAUAGCCGACCUGAGAGGGUGAUCGGCCACACUGGAACUGAGACACGGUCCAGACUCCUACGGGAGGCAGCAGUAGGGAAUCUUCCGCAAUGGGCGAAAGCCUGACGGAGCAACGCCGCGUGAGUGAUGAAGGUCUUCGGAUCGUAAAACUCUGUUAUUAGGGAAGAACAUAUGUGUAAGUAACUGUGCACAUCUUGACGGUACCUAAUCAGAAAGCCACGGCUAACUACGUG
rnacentral:rRNA from 1 species